ACUGAACGCUGGCGGCAGGCUUAACACAUGCAAGCCGAGCGGAGAGAGGUAGCUUGCCACUGACCUUAGCGGCGGACGGGUGAGUAAUGCUUAGGAAUCUGCCCUUGGGUUCGGAAUAACUCGCCGAAAGGCGUGCUAAUACCGGAUGAUGUCGUAAGACCAAAGAUUUAUCGCCCAGGGAUGAGCCCGCGUAAGAUUAGGUAGUUGGUGAGGUAAAGGCUCACCAAGCCGACGAUCUUUAGCUGGUCUGAGAGGAUGAUCAGCCACACUGGGACUGAGACACGGCCCAG
rnacentral:rRNA from 1 species